rnacentral:tRNA from 1 species
UACAUCGGCCGGGAAUCGAACCCGGGCUGCCCGCGUGGCAGGCGAGUAUUCUACCACUGAACCACCGAUGG